CCGAAGUCAAGCAUCAUUGGGCGCGGUCAGUACUUGGGUGGGUGACCACCUGGGAACACUGCGUGCCGUU